UCGACCAGAACAAGGGAAAAACAAGGGAAACCCUUGUUCUUGCUAAAAUCACUCAAUUGAUCAAGGAAUUCAAGGCUAAUCACUUGCAUGAUUCUAAAUUUUCGGUCAUCUACACAUACUCAGUAAAGUGGCGUGAAGGAAGAAAGCUCAAGUGCUAGGAAAACGGAAAACACACAAGAUCGAGGUAAAUCCGCAACUUAGACGUGAUGGCGAACUUGGAACGAACACACGCGUGAAACUUGUCUAUAUGCGCUUCCGCUAUUUUGUGAUGAUGUUAUGGUCAAAAGCUACUUUUGUUGUAAUUAGUUUUUGAGUAGUAACUAGUUUUUUUAA